rnacentral:rRNA from 1 species
UAGUGACCGAUAGCGUAUAGUACCGUGAGGGAAAGGUGAAAAGAACCCCGGGAGGGGAGUGAAAUAGAACCUGAAACCCUGCACUUACAAGCUGUGGAAGCACAUUUCUUGUGUGACCGCGUACUUUUUGUAGAACGGGCCAACGAGUUACGUUAAGUAGCAAGGUUAAGCACUUAAGGUGCGGAGCCGUAGCGAAAGCGAGUUUUAACUGAGCGUUCAGUUACUUGACGUAGACCCGAAACCGGGCGACCUACCCAUGAGCAGGAUGAAGCGAAAGUAAAAUUUCGUGGAGGUCCGAACCCACGAGCGUUGAAAAGCUCGGGGAUGACUUGUGGGUAGCGGUGAAAUUCCAAUCGAGCCCGGAGAUAGCUGGUUCUCCCCGAAAUAGCUUUAGGGCUAGCCUCAAGGUGAGAGAUACGGAGGUAGAGCACUGAAUGUCCUAGGGGGUAUUGCACCUACCGAAGACUAUCAAACUCCGAAUGCCGUCAUCUUAUACUUGGGAGUCAGACUGUGGGUGAUAAGAUUCAUAGUCGAAAGGGCAACAGCCCAGAUCGUCAGCUAAGGUCCCUAAAUGUAAGUUAAGUGGUAAAGGAUGUGGGAUUGCACAGACAACCAGGAUGUUGGCUUAGAAGCAGCCACUCAUUCAAAGAGUGCGUAAUAGCUCACUGGUCGAGUGAUCCUGCGCCGAAGAUUUCCGGGGCUAAAACUUACUACCGAAGCUACGGCAUCAGUAAUGAUGGGUAGGGGAGCUUCCCAUACGGGUUGAAGCAUGACCGUAAGGACAUGUGGACAGUAUGGGAGUGAGAAUGUUGGCAUGAGUAGCGAGAUGUGGGUGAGAAUCCCACAGGCCGUAAACCCAAGGUUUCCAGGGGAAGGUUCGUCCGCCCUGGGUUAGUCGGGACCUAAGCUGAGGCCGAAAGGCGUAGGUGAUGGACAACAGGUUGAUAUUCCUGUACUACCGAUAACCGUUUGAGAGAAGGGAUGACACAGUAGGAUAAGCUAAGCACACUGUUGGUUAUGUGUGCCCAAGCAUUGAGGCAGUCAAAGUAGGCAAAUCCGCUUUGAUAAUGCUGGGAUGUGAUGGGGAGCGAAAUUUAGUAGCGAAGUAGCUGAUUUCACACUGUCAAGAAAAGUCUCUAUCGAGGUUAAAGGUACCCGUACCGCAAACCGACACAGGUGGGUGAGGAGAGUAUCCUAAGGCCAGCGAGAGAACUGUUGUUAAGGAACUCGGCAAAAUGACCCCGUAACUUAGGGAUAAGGGGUGCCACCAUCAGGUGGCCGCAGAGAAUAGGCCCAAGCGACUGUUUACCAAAAACAUAGGUUUCUGCUAAGUCGCAAGACGAUGUAUAGGAGCUGACGCCUGCCCGGUGCUGGAAGGUUAAGGGGAUCUGUUAGAGCAAUCGAAGCAGUGAACUUAAGCCCCAGUAAACGGCGGCCGUAACUAUAACGGUCCUAAGGUAGCGAAAUUCCUUGUCGGGUAAGUUCCGACCCGCACGAAAGGCGUAACGAUUUGGGCACUGUCUCAACAACAGACUCGGUGAAAUUGUAAUUCCGGUGAAGAUGCCGGAUACCUGCGACAGGACGGAAAGACCCCAUGGAGCUUUACUGUAGCUUGACAUUGGGUCUUGGUACUACAUGUACAGGAUAGGUGGGAGGCUUUGAAACCAGGACGCCAGUUUUGGCGGAGCCAUCCUUGGGAUACCACCCUUGUAGUACUGGGACUCUAACCAUAGGCCAUGAAUCUGGUCUUGGGACACUGUCAGGUGGGCAGUUUGACUGGGGCGGUCGCCUCCCAAAAGGUAACGGAGGCGCUCAAAGGUUCUCUCAGUACGGUCGGAAAUCGUACGUAGAGUGUAAAGGCAAAAGAGAGCUUGAUUGCAAGACAUACAGGUCGAGCAAGGAUGAAAAUCGGACUUAGUGAUCCGGUGGUUCUGCGUGGAAGGGCCAUCGCUCAACGGAUAAAAGCUACCCUGGGGAUAACAGGCUUAUCUCCCCCAAGAGUCCACAUCGACGGGGAGGUUUGGCACCUCGAUGUCGGCUCAUCACAUCCUGGGGCUGUAGUAGGUCCCAAGGGUUGGGCUGUUCGCCCAUUAAAGUGGUACGCGAGCUGGGUUCAGAACGUCGUGAGACAGUUCGGUCCCUAUCCGUCGCAGGCGUAGGAAAUUUGAGAAGACCUGUCCUUAGUACGAGAGGACCGGGAUGGACGUACCUCUGGUGUACCAGUUGUCCUGCCAAGGGCAUGGCUGGGUAGCUAUGUACGGAAUGGAUAAGCGCUGAAAGCAUCUAAGCGCGAAGCCAACUUCAAGAUAAGAUUUCCCACCGCAAGGGUAAGACCCCAGAAAGACUAUCUGGUUGAUAGGUCGAAGGUGUAAGUGCAGCAAUGUAUUUAGCUUAUCGAUACUAAUAGGUCGAGGACUUGACCAA